rnacentral:rRNA from 1 species
AUUGAACGCUGGCGGCAGGCCUAACACAUGCAAGUCGAGCGGAUGAGUGGAGCUUGCUCCAUGAUUCAGCGGCGGACGGGUGAGUAAUGCCUAGGAAUCUGCCUGGUAGUGGGGGACAACGUUUCGAAAGGAACGCUAAUACCGCAUACGUCCUACGGGAGAAAGCAGGGGACCUUCGGGCCUUGCGCUAUCAGAUGAGCCUAGGUCGGAUUAGCUAGUAGGUGAGGUAAUGGCUCACCUAGGCGACGAUCCGUAACUAGUCUGAGAGGAUGAUUAGUCAAAAGGGAACUGAGCAAGGGACCAGAGGCCGACGGGACGCAGCAGUGGGGAAGAUUGGACAAGGGGGGAAAGCUUGAUCUAGCCACGGCGCGUGUGUGAAGAAGGUCCUCAGAUUGUAAAGCACUUUAAGUUUGGAGGAAGGGCAAUAACUUAAUACCUCGCUGUUCUGACGUUACGAACAGAAUCAGCACCGGCUCAGUUCGAGCCAGACGCUGUGGUAAGAC